rnacentral:rRNA from 1 species
GAUGAACGCUGGUGGCGUGCCUAAUACAUGCAAGUCGAGCGAACGGACGAGAAGCUUGCUUCUCUGAUGUUAGCGGCGGACGGGUGAGUAACACGUGGAUAACCUACCUAUAAGACUGGGAUAACUUCGGGAAACCGGAGCUAAUACCGGAUAAUAUUUUGAACCGCAUGGUUCAAAAGUGAAAGACGGUCUUGCUGUCACUUAUAGAUGGAUCCGCGCUGCAUUAGCUAGUUGGUAAGGUAACGGCUUACCAAGGCAACGAUGCAUAGCCGACCUGAGAGGGUGAUCGGCCACACUGGAACUGAGACACGGUCCAGACUCCUACGGGAGGCAGCAGUAGGGAAUCUUCCGCAAUGGGCGAAAGCCUGACGGAGCAACGCCGCGUGAGUGAUGAAGGUCUUCGGAUCGUAAAACUCUGUUAUUAGGGAAGAACAUAUGUGUAAGUAACUGUGCACAUCUUGACGGUACCUAAUCAGAAAGCCACGGCUAACUACGUGCCAGCAGCCGCGGUAAUACGUAGGUGGCAAGCGUUAUCCGGAAUUAUUGGGCGUAAAGCGCGCGUAGGCGGUUUUUUAAGUCUGAUGUGAAAGCCCACGGCUCAACCGUGGAGGGUCAUUGGAAACUGGAAAACUUGAGUGCAGAAGAGGAAAGUGGAAUUCCAUGUGUAGCGGUGAAAUGCGCAGAGAUAUGGAGGAACACCAGUGGCGAAGGCGACUUUCUGGUCUGUAACUGACGCUGAUGUGCGAAAGCGUGGGGAUCAAACAGGAUUAGAUACCCUGGUAGUCCACGCCGUAAACGAUGAGUGCUAAGUGUUAGGGGGUUUCCGCCCCUUAGUGCUGCAGCUAACGCAUUAAGCACUCCGCCUGGGGAGUACGACCGCAAGGUUGAAACUCAAAGGAAUUGACGGGGACCCGCACAAGCGGUGGAGCAUGUGGUUUAAUUCGAAGCAACGCGAAGAACCUUACCAAAUCUUGACAUCCUUUGACAACUCUAGAGAUAGAGCUUUCCCCUUCGGGGGACAAAGUGACAGGUGGUGCAUGGUUGUCGUCAGCUCGUGUCGUGAGAUGUUGGGUUAAGUCCCGCAACGAGCGCAACCCUUAAGCUUAGUUGCCAUCAUUAAGUUGGGCACUCUAAGUUGACUGCCGGUGACAAACCGGAGGAAGGUGGGGAUGACGUCAAAUCAUCAUGCCCCUUAUGAUUUGGGCUACACACGUGCUACAAUGGACAAUACAAAGGGCAGCGAAACCGUGAGGUCAAGCAAAUCCCAUAAAGUUGUUCUCAGUUCGGAUUGUAGUCUGCAACUCGACUACAUGAAGCUGGAAUCGCUAGUAAUCGUAGAUCAGCAUGCUACGGUGAAUACGUUCCCGGGUCU